GGUUGUUAAGGUGUAGAGGCCAGCAGUCCAGAUUCUGACCUGACCAAAGACUUCUGGCGGCCCCGGUUCGAGUCCGGGGACGACCU